ACGGCUCAGUAACACGUGGAUAACCUGCCCUAUGGUGGAGAAUAACCCCGGGAAACUGGGGAUAAUACUCCAUAGAUUAGAGAUACUGGAAUGUUCUUUAAUCGAAAGUUGAGGCGCCAUAGGAUGGAUCUGCGGUCGAUUAGGUUGUUGUUGGGGUAACGGCCCAACAAGCCUGUAAUCGAUACGGGUUGUGGGAGCAAGAGCCCGGAGAUGGAAUCUGAGACACGAUUCCAGGCCCUACGGGGCGCAGCAGGCGCGAAAACUUUACAAUGCAGGAAACUGUGAUAAGGGAACCCCGAGUGCCCGUAUACGCGGGCUGUCCAGGUGUCUAAAAAGCAUCUGAAGAAAGGGCCGGGCAAGACCGGUGCCAGCCGCCGCGGUAAUACCGGCGGCUCGAGUGGUGGCCACUAUUAUUGGGCUUAAAGCGUCCGUAGCUGGACUCUUAAGUCUCUUGGGAAAUCCGCCGGCUUAACCGACGGGCGUCUAAGAGAUACUGAGAGUCUAGGGACCGGGAGAGGUGAGAGGUACUCCGGGGGUAGGAGUGAAAUCCUGUAAUCCCUGGGGGACCACCGAUGGCGAAGGCAUCUCACCAGAACGGCUCCGACAGUGAGGGACGAAAGCUGGGGGAGCGAACCGGAUUAGAUACCCGGGUAGUCCCAGCCGUAAACUAUGCGCGUUAGGUGUACUGGUGACCACGAGUCACUGGGGUGCCGAAGGGAAACCGUGAAACGUGCCGCCUGGGAAGUACGGUCGCAAGGCUGAACUUAAAGGAAUUGGCGGGGGAG
rnacentral:rRNA from 1 species